rnacentral:rRNA from 1 species
AUUGAACGCUGGCGGCAGGCCUAACACAUGCAAGUCGAACGAGUGGCGGACGGGUGAGUAAUGUCUGGGAAACUGCCUGAUGGAGGGGGAUAACUACUGGAAACGGUAGCUAAUACCGCAUACCAUCAGAUGUGCCCAGAUGGGAUUAGCUUGUUGGUGGGGUAACGGCUCACCAAGGCGACGAUCCCUAGCUGGUCUGAGAGGAUGACCAGACAAAAGUGAACGGAGACACGUGCCAGACUCCUACGGGAGGCAGCAGGUGGGAAUAUUGCAAAAUGGGCGCAAGCCGGAUGCAGCCAUGCCGCGUGUAUGAAGAAGGCCUUCGGGUUGUAAAGUACUUUCAGCGGGGAGGCGUUACCCGCAGAAGAAGCACCGGCUAACUCCGUGCCAGCAGCCGCGGUAAUAC